rnacentral:rRNA from 1 species
GACCAGACUCCUACGGGAGGCAGCAGUGAGGAAUAUUGGUCAAUGGGCGCGAGCCUGAACCAGCCAAGUAGCGUGAAGGAUGACUGCCCUACGGGUUGUAAACUUCUUUUAUAAAGGAAUAAAGUGAGGCACGUGUGCCUUUUUGUAUGUACUUUAUGAAUAAGGAUCGGCUAACUCCGUGCCAGCAGCCGCGGUAAUACGGAGGAUGCGAGCGUUAUCCGGAAUCAUUGGGCGUAAAGAGUUCGUAGGCGGUAUGUUAAGUCUGGUGUUAAAUGCAGAAGCUCAACUUCUGUUCGGCACUGGAUACUGGCAAACUAGAAUGCGGUAGAGGUAAAGGGAAUUCCUGGUGUAGCGGUGAAAUGCUUAGAUAUCAGGAGGAACAUCGGUGGCGUAAGCGCUUUACUGGGCCGUAAUUGACGCUGAGGAACGAAAGCCAGGGUAGCAAAUGGGAUUAGAUACCCCAGUAGUU